AGCCGAAACGGCCCAGUGGUCCGUCUGCCGGGACCGGCCGCCCGGCACUGAUGAUGGCAGGCCAAA
rfam:Subdoligranulum sp. 4_3_54A2FAA genomic scaffold supercont1.1, whole genome shotgun sequence.